rnacentral:rRNA from 1 species
CCUACGGGUGACUGCAGUAGGGAAUGUUCGGCAAUGGGGGGAACCCUGACCGAGCAACGCCGCGUGAAGGAAGAAGUUAUUCGUAAUGUAAAGUUCUUUUAACAGGGAAGAAAGAGAAAUUUGAAGGUACCUGAAGAAUAAGCUCCGGCUAACUACGUGCCCGCAGCCGCGGUAAUACGGAGGGAGCGAGCGUGAUCCGGAAUCAUUGGGCGAAAAGGGUGCGUAGAUGGCAUAGUAAGUCUUUUGUAAAAAUGCUGGGCUCAACCCAGUAGGGCAAAAGAUACUGCAAGGCUAGAGUAUGACAGAGGCAUGUGGAACGACAUGUGUAGCGGUAAAAUGCGUAGAUAUAUGUAAGAACACCAGUGGCGAAGGCGGCUUGCUGGGUCGAUACUGACAUUGAGGCACGAAAGCGUGGGGAGCAAACAGGAUUAGAUACCCGAGUAGUC